rnacentral:rRNA from 1 species
UACAGAGGUCUCAAGCGUUGUUCGGAUUCAUUGGGCGUAAAGGGUGCGUAGGCGGCGCGGUAAGUCGGGUGUGAAAUCUCGGAGCUUAACUCCGAAACUGCAUUCGAUACUGCCGUGCUUGAGGACUGGAGAGGAGACUGGAAUUUACGGUGUAGCGGUGAAAUGCGUAGAUAAUCGUAAGGAAGACCAGUGGCGAAAGGGCGGGGUCUCUGGACAGUUCCUGACGUGAGGCACGAAGGUCGGGGGAGCAAACGGGG